UACGUAGGGGGCAAGGGUUGUCCGGAAUCAUUGGGCGUAAAGAGCGUGUAGGCGGCCCGAUAAGUCCGCCGUGAAAGUCCAGGGCUCAACCCUGGAAUGCCGGUGGAAACUGUCGGGCUGGAGUCCGGAAGAGGCGAGUGGAAUUCCUGGUGUAGCGGUGAAAUGCGCAGAUAUCAGGAGGAACACCAAUGGCGAAGGCAGCUCGCUGGGACGGUACUGACGCUGAGACGCGAAAGCGUGGGGAGCAAACAGG
rnacentral:rRNA from 1 species